UACGUAGGGGGCAAGCGUUGUCCGGAAUCAUUGGGCGUAAAGAGCGUGUAGGCGGUCCGGUAAGUCCGUUGUGAAAGUCAAGGGCUCAACCCUUGAAUGCCGGCGGAUACUGCCGGGCUAGAGUCCGGAAGAGGCGAGUGGAAUUCCCGGUGUAGCGGUGAAAUGCGCAGAUAUCGGGAGGAACACCGAUGGCGGAGGCAGCUCGCUGGGACGGUACUGACGCUGAGACGCGAAAGCGUGGGGAGCGAACGGG
rnacentral:rRNA from 1 species